AUGGACUCUGACCGUGAAAAACAAGACGAUAGAAGGUUUAUGCUGCUGGAGUUGAAAGGUCAAACUGCGAUGCGGUUCCAAGGGCUUCCGGCUUUCUGGAAGGAUCCCGGUCCCCAGGGAGGAACAAAGUCCAGCCAGUGUAGGAAGGCCUGGAGACAUCUUGGGUUCACUUGGCCACAGGGACCUCAGGUGCCACGUGAACCUUGUAAGGCACAUCUGCAAAUCCUCCGGUCAAUGCCUACAAGAAGAGGGAGGAAACAAGAUACAGAGCAAAUCUACAACCUAAAAGGCCUAAAAUCUACACAACUGCUGCAGCUUGGCCUCGGCAACAAACAAGCUCUUCAAGACUGUUUUGCUUCCCAAAUGUUCUCUCUUGAGCUGGGGAGCUGGUUUGGCAUGGGGCGGCCAGCUUGGAACCGCUGGGCAGGGAGCAGCACCAUCUCCGACCCUCUAAUUGCACUUAUCAUGUACUAAUUAGCAUUUAAUAAACAGCAACCCAGCAUCCAUUCCUGAAAUAAUAAAGGGACCUCAUCCCCACUUCAAAGAUGAAAACACUCAGAUUAGGAGGGUAACAGCAACAGGAAUAAAGAGCCACCCAUAUCUGAUCAGAGUUAAUAGCACAAUUAGAACCCGAAGCUUCCCACUCUGGAAUCUGGUUGCAGGCAAGGUGGCUUCAUAAUGAGCCACCCCACUCCUCCUUGAGUCACACCUUGGGGUGGAAUAAUUAAGGCAGGCAGGAUCCCUUUCAACAGGAGCCAAGUCCCAGGUGUCUAGAUGUACGUUAGGAGGCCUCAACUAUCUAUCUCUUCAGCCAGGUGUGAGAUCUGAGAUUUCAGGGCUGUGAAACUGCAGAGUGCUGGGUGGGGUCCCCUUGGCCCUGCCAUAGAGGUCUUCAGAGGGUGAAAGUUAGCCCGGGGAGUGGUUUGAACACACUUCAGGGUGUGCACCAGGGCCUGUGCCAAGGAUGUGGUCAGCAGAAGAACAUGAUUUACAGUUUUACCCUUGCUCCCGCUCUCAGCUGGAACUUGAUGUUUUUAUUUUUGUUUUGUUUUGCUUUUUUCAAUACUGAGGAUUGAACCCAGGGCAUUCGCAUCGGUUUACAUGGUUCGUCCUUUUUAUUUUUUGUUUUGAAGGAGAGUUUCACUGAGUAGCUAAGUUGCCCAAGGUGGGCUCAAACUUGCAAUCCUCCUGCCUCAAUUUGGCAGGGAUGCACUUGAUGUCUGCAUCUGGGGAAAAGGUACAGGCCAGUGAUUCUGAAAGCAGAGUUCCUAUAUCUGAAGCUUGCCUGGGAACAUGUUAAAGGUGAAGCUCUCAGGCCUCCCCCCUCACUGUUGAAUCAGAAACUUUAGGGUUGAGGCCCAGCCCUGUGCCUUCCAACGAGCCCCGCAGAGCAGCUUGGGUAAUGGCCUGAGCCUUUUCCCAGGAUGAGGCAGUGAGGAGGGGACCCAGGAGGACCUGGGCUUCCUCUCACGUCUGCUGUACUGCAGCACAGACAGACCUCCUCUCAUCGUCCCAUGGAACUGUCCAGGCCGGGACCUUCGUGCAGAGACAGCCCCUCCGGAUGCAGCAUCCCUCCCCAGCCGUGUUCCCAGAGUGCCUUUCCUCUUCCAGGCAGCCCUUCCAGAUCGCGUGUUCUUUCCCAACAGCGCACAGCAAUGGCCUGCAUGGGAGCCCUAUUUGACAUUACUUCUUACACGUCCGUCCUCCUCUAAAGCUGAGGCAUCCACAGCCUGGGCCACAGGAGUCAGCACACAGUGGCUUGUGCAUGGAAUACCUUUUGUGAUCGUCAGUUUUUCAGUCAGUUAUGUUUUAUCAGCUCCUAAUAUGGAUUCAAUAAAUAUCUGUUGUUUUACUUUGAAGAAUGUACUCAGUAUUACAUUAUCUUACGUUUACCCUUCCUUUUUAUCCCCCUCCUUUUCGAUUAUACAUGGAAGCCAAUUUGGAUUUCCCCUCCUCCAC
rnacentral:lncRNA from 1 species